rnacentral:rRNA from 1 species
GUAAUCGCGGAUCAGCAUGCCGCGGUGAAUACGUUCCCGGGCCUUGUACACACCGCCCGUCACACCAUGGGAGUCGGUAACACCCGAAGCCGAUAGUCUAACGAAAGAGGACGUCGUCGAAGGUGGGAUUGAUGACUGGGGUGAAGUCGUAACAAGGUACC